CACGUUUGACUUUACACCUCAUCAAUGAACCACUGAUGACGUCCAGGACCGACUGUGAACGUGAAGAAGAGACUUCACAGCUCUUUGCUUCUUUCCUUUAGAGCCUGAAUCUAAUGCAUCUGAAGAACCUGAGGCUGAACCGGAACCAGAACCGGAACCAGAACCGGAACCAGAAACUCACACUCAGCUUGAACCAGAAGUGGAGGCUGAACUAGAACCUGUGGAGUAUCCUGAGGUGAUUGAGGAGGACCCAGAGGUUCUGGAACAGGAGCUCCCUGAAGAACAAGAAGAUGCUGUUGAGGACUCUGUCUCUGAGGUUAAUCCUGAGGAAGAACAGCCAGCAGCUGAUCAGGAAGGACAGGAAAUGGAAGGAGAGCCAGCAGAAGCUGCCAAGGAGUUCGCUGAUGAAGCCAUCAGAGAAACAGCUGCUGAA
rnacentral:lncRNA from 1 species